rnacentral:sRNA from 1 species
UAAAGUCCUUCUAACAUUUGAAGACAUA